GUGCCAGCCGCCGCGGUAAGACGGAGGGGGCAAGCGUUAUCCGGAAUUAUUGGGCGUAAAGGGUCCGCAGGUGGCAGUUCAAGUCUGCAGUUAAAGGUCGGGGCUAAACCCCGGAAAGGCUGUGGAAACUGAACAGCUAGAGUACGGUAGGGGCAGAGGGAAUUCCCAGUGUAGCGGUGAAAUGCGUAGAGAUUGGGAAGAACACCGGUGGCGAAGGCGCUCUGCUAGGCCGAAACUGGCACUGAGGGACGAAAGCUAGGGGAGCGAAAGGGAUUAGAUACCCCUGUAGUCCUAGCUGUAAACGAUGGAGACUAGGUGUGGCCUGUAUCGACCCGGGCCGUGCCGGAGCUAACGCGUUAAGUCUCCCGCCUGGGGAGUACGCACGCAAGUGUGAAACUUAAAGGAAUUGGCGGGG
rnacentral:rRNA from 1 species